GAUGAACGCUGGCGGCGUGCCUAAUACAUGCAAGUCGAGCGAACAGACGAGGAGCUUGCUCCUCUGACGUUAGCGGCGGACGGGUGAGUAACACGUGGAUAACCUACCUAUAAGACUGGGAUAACUUCGGGAAACCGGAGCUAAUACCGGAUAAUAUAUUGAACAGCAUUGUUCAAUAGUGAAAGACGGUUUUGCUGUCGCUUAUAGAUGGAUCCGCGCCGCAUUAGCUAGUUGGUAAGGUAACGGCUUACCAAGGCGACGAUGCGUAGCCGACCUGAGAGGGUGAUCGCCCACACUGGAAGUGAGACACGGUCCAGACUCCUACGGGAGGCAGCAGUAGGGAAUCUUCCGCAAUGGGCGAAAGCCUGGCGGAGCAACGCCGAGUGAGUGAUGAAGGUCUUCGGAUCGUAAAACUCUGUUAUUAGGGAAGAACAAAUGUGUAAGUAACUAUGCACGUCUUGACGGUACCUAAUCAGAAAGCCACGGCUAACUACGUG
rnacentral:rRNA from 1 species